GAUGAACGCUGGCGGCGUGCUUAAUACAUGCAAGUCGAACGGAAAGACCCUGCUUUUGUGCGGUGCUCGUGUGGGGAACGGGUGAGUAAAACGUGAGUAAACCGCCCUUGAAUGUGGGGUAAAUUCUGGAAAAUCGGGCUCAUACCCGGUAGAAGAUCUUGAUGCGCAGUGUGGAUUGGAAAGUUUCGGCGUUUGGGGAUGGACUGGCGGCUUAUCAGCUUGUUGGUGUGGUUGUGGCUUACCAAGGUUUCGACGGGUAGCCGGCCUGAGAGGGUGACCAGCCACAUGGGUACUGAGGUAGGGACCAGACGCCAACAGGAGGCAACAGUGGGGAAUAUUGCACAAUGGGCGGAAGCCUGAUGCAGCAGCGCCGCGUGCGGGAUGACGGCCUUCUGGUUGUAAACCGCUGUCGCCUGUGACGAAGCGUGAGUGACGGUAAUUGGUAAAGAAGCACCGGCUAACUACGUG
rnacentral:rRNA from 1 species